rnacentral:rRNA from 1 species
GAUGAACGCUAGCUACAGGCUUAACACAUGCAAGUCGAGGGGAAACGAUGAGAGAGCUUGCUCUCUUAGGCGUCGACCGGCGCACGGGUGAGUAACGCGUAUCCAACCUACCCUUUACAGGGGGAUAACCUUGCGAACGUAAGACUAAUACCCCAUGGCAUUUUAUGGUGGCAUCAUUAUAGGAUUAAAGAUUUAUUGUUAAUGGAUGGGGAUGCGUCUGAUUAGCUUGUUGGCGGGGUAACGGCCCACCAAGGCAACGAUCAGUAGGGGUUCUGAGAGGAAGGCCCCCCACAUUGGAACUGAGACACGGUCCAAACGCCUACGGGAGGCAGCAGUGAGGAAUAUUGGUCAAUGGGCGAGAGCUUGAACCAGCCAAGUAGCGUGCAGGAGGACGGCCCUAGGGGUUGUAAACUGCCUUUAUAGGGGAAUAAAGUGAGAUACGUGUAGUUUAUUGCAUGUACCCUAUGAAUAAGGACCGGCUAAUUCCGUG